UUUUUUUUUUUUUUUUGGAUAUGUUGUUGUGGAAAGGGGGCGGCGGUGCCUUAACCUGGGGCCGCGUCGAGGUCCCCACGGGAUGGCGUGCAGUGUGAUGGUGCAGUGUGAUGUGCCAGGUUUUGGGCUGUUUUCCUCUGGAUAGAAAUAGACUCGCACCACAGUCGAUUUCGAAAAGCUUUGCACUGGGGACGAGGCCCCUUAACAGCCAUCUGAAGAACUGCAAAGGAGUAACUGAAAGUCAUUACCAUCCUGUUGGACUGAUGAUGGUGCGGCUCAAAUGACCUCGCCUCGCCGGUGUUAAUUAAUUAAUUUGAAGAACAAAAGAAGAUUCAGGGACCGGAGCCAAGUGCUGUGAUAAGACGAGAGUAAACAGUGAAAUUGCCAAGCUUCUCCAGUACUUCCCAUGAUUCUCUGCUCUCGGUCACAUGUGGGUUACCAUGACAGAGAUAUCUGCCAUCGAUAGCCUGGAAGGAAUCUAUCAAGGUUAAUGCAAAGGUUGUGUUUUAAUUACUGUGCGACUUUAUUUGCAUUUUUAAUGAAUUUAUUUUUUGGGGGUGAUUUUAGGAAUGCGCAACCCAUCAGCGGGGCGGGGACGCGCAUUGUCAGCGCGCUUUGGCGGGAGGGCGAGUGCAUUUGUUGUCUGAUUAGUUAUUCUAAAAUUGAUAAAUCAAGGCUGUCUCAAAAUUGAUCGAUGCCCUGUGUGCCGCUGACCGUGUCUAAUGCACAAAUCCGACGUGAAAGUGCAGAGAAGUGUGAAUGUGUUUGUGUUUGUGUAUGAGAAUGUGUGUGUAAUGGCUGUAUGAUUUGGGGCCAUUAAUGCAUUGGAUACAAGAAAUUUAUUUCACGCUUGCACUUUUCUUGAAAACACAGAUGCAUUUUUGCAGAAUUGUGCUAAGCAAUAAGCUUGUGCAGCCUCCCGGGCACAUUUCCUCCAUGUGAGAGCGGUUCAUGCAGUUCAAAUACAGACAUAACGGAACUCUGAGAUCUUCCGACGCAGCCACGCGUCCGCACCCUGCAGUUAUCAUAUUUCCCACAGCAUCUCCUAGAUCUUCUACCUGUCUGUCACGGCUCCUUUAUCCAUGUGGCGGCCGCUUCCACCUGCAUGGUACCUGGCUGCGGGGACGUCUCCGGGCUAAAGCCAUCCAUCCCGUGCCAUUGUUCUGACUUGAAGGGCUGAACGACCAGGCGUGGGCCCGGCACAGAUGACAGACCGGCUGGACGUGCGAUCGCAUUUCAAGGCCUCCCUUUGCUUCCUGGGAACCACGGUGCGAUAACGUCUUCAGAUAUUUAUACCGAAGAGCACCUAUUCACGAAGAACAUUUAGUUUUAUGUGACCAUAUUAAUGAACAUAAGCUUCCCCUAACAGACAUGAUGCGUUUUUGUAGCAGUUGGCCAUAUAACAGUUAUGGGUGUCUGUUUCUCUUUAAACUUCCUGGCACAGUUUGUGUACCACAAGGGUGGCCAGUGUUACCCAGAAAGGGCCGCUGUGCAUGCGGGUUUUCAAGGCAAUUCCAUAAUUAGAUCACUAAUUAGAGGGCUGAUUGGCUGAGGAGUCCUCACACCUGGGUUUGAACAGCUGAUGUAAAGGUUAUCAAAAACCUACUUACACACCGGCCCUUUGUGGAUAUGAUUGGCCUUUCAGAGGAAAGGUGACAUCAUCAUAUUCUGCUUCAGGUUCACAGUCCGUCAGUCUGCUAAAAUUGGCCUGAUGAACUAAUAUCUGCUCCCUGCAACGCGGGCAGUGGCCAGACCUCCUCCGAAGCGACGGAGCAGACAGUCGUGGAGAUGGAUGAGAUCCAUCUCCUGCCGAGGUCUGAUGCGCUGCCCUGUCACGCCAGCGACCAUGGGGGCUUAGCAGGGAGUGUCUCGUUAGAGAAUCUGCAGUGGGAUGUAAUGGACUUUCUCGUGGUCCAACCAGCCCAAAACUCUGGGACGUGGCCCAAGAGAAUCGGGCAAUUGGAGUCUCACGGAGAAGAAGUCUGUCGCGUCCGGAUGGAGCGCAGAUGUUUGUUCUUCUGGGUUGUUUUUCUUGUCAGAUUUAAUAGUAAUUCUUCAGUGAAGUAGCAGGUGUGUGACGGACUAACAGCCGUGCAUUCAGCAUGGACCCCUAAGAGGAGUAUAUUCUUAAAGCCGGUCAGCGCUGCUACUUACAGCAUAAGGCCAAGCAUAGUGAUUCGAGAUUGGUGAUUCUGAGUUAGUGGCACACAUCAGCAUAACUCUCCGUUCUUCAUGUCAAGAGCUGUCUCCUGCCCAAGGGUCCACAGAGGUGCCGAAUCAGUGCUCUUGACACCGAGGGUAAGAUAAGAAGGUUACUGUAUAGUCUUCCUCACAGUGUGAUCAUAUGCUAAUUAGUAUUAGCAACAUUCCUUGAAUAGUAAUUGUAGGUAAUACUCAUCGCUAUGGAGAGUGGGCAUACCCUCAUUAUUUAGUCGCCAACUGUUGUCAAGCAAGCCUUCAAAGGGAAGUUCUUUCGAGUCCCGAAUCAAUCUUAACCACAGAUUACCUCCUUGCGCAAAGUAAUUUGGAGCACUGCACAUGGGUCACUGGAAGAUUUCUGAAGGCUAAUCAAAGCUUCACCGGCGGCAGCAGGAUAAACCCUGAGAAGCCACACCUAUCUGCAUGUGCUGCAGGUAUUAGAGGAACGAUUUAGGGUUAGCCUAAGGGGCAACUACAGAAAUAAUUCCGGACUCUGGAAUGUUCUGUCAUGUGGCGCUCGCUUCCUGCGCAUGUGAAUCGUUCUGCAUCGGUUGACGUGGAUGAGUUCACUGCUCCCACGCCUUGUCGGUAUCGCCAGUUGCAUGGCAGCCCCCAGAGGCAGCUUGGGUAGCAUGUCUGCAGCCUGUUUGCGGUACAUGAUGCGUUCACAUGCCGCCGACAUGCUGUCAAGUUUCAGCCUUGCCUCCGGAUCCCGCGUUACCUGUAUGACCAGAAUGUCAGAAAACCACGGACAUGCUAGAAGUGUUUUUCUGAAAUGCCAUGCAAGCACCUUUGUGAGUCGACCCUUUGGAGCCUGGGAAGUGGGUCAUGGUAUCUGUUAUCUGGUGUACUGGAGACAGAGAGCAAUGGGUCCCACACUCAGAGGAGCCACACAUGCGGAUGAGUAAGCAGAAAAUGCCACCUGACCAAGUUUGAAAAGAGGUUUGACUGAUUUGUUUCUGAGCAGAUCUGCACCAUGCAUCAUAUCAUGGAGCUGGAAUCAGACGCUGGCAGCACUGGGAAUGUAGCUUAUUUUCACAGUCUGCACGAUUCUCCUCAAACAGCCCAGUGGACCCAUCGAUCUUCUGUCACUGGGUUGUCUGUUCACAGUGACUAAUGUUCUGCUUAUGUUACUGUGUUCUUCCUCUACGUUGUAGAUUAGAAAUUAUCAUGGUGUGACCUGAUUGACGCCAGAAAACCAUUUCCUCUGCUAUGAACGUCAGAGGAGAAAAAUGAAGAUAUUAGAUUUGCAGAAGGAACUUGCCAUGUCCCGGCUCCCUCUUAAGUCAGCCCACUGACCCUAAGUUACCCUAAGCUUGUCAGGCCAUUGACUCCUCAAAGGGUAGGGAGGGUGCUCCCUUGUGGUGGGGUGAGCUAACGCCAGCAUCUUUCCUUGGCUUGUACAAAAUGUGGUGGAACUAUCCUGCUUCUCCGUCCGUGUGCACCCAGGGACCCACACACAUAGAAUAUCACAGUCAUUGACCCUUUGGAGGACGACUGUUCACUUGGGAUGUCAGCCUGAGUCCUUUGGUUUAUUCAGUCAUUUGUUGCUCUUCGCAUUCCUUUAACCGAUUGUCAGUAGUUUUAAUAUUUGUGGUAUUACUGUAUUCGGAUCGAGCCCAAACACUGAGCAGUACAGGGAGACCUCAGUGUGUCCCAGGCCUUUCCUGGCCAUCGUACCUGUGUAAGCAUGUUCUUUGGGUGGGUAUGGAGUCAGGGCGGUAUAAGGAGUAGCUAUGUAACUGGUAGAGAAUGUUCUAUAUAAAUGGUAGCGGUCGUGCUCUGGGGCUGCCCGUAGCGAAAGGCCGGUCUCCCACACCGGGGGCAGUAGCUCUUAGCCGCACAUCCAAUGGACGUAGACUUUAACUGAGGUCCCCAUGAUUGCUACACUGCCCCCUCGCGUUGCUUUUAACUCAGACCCUCAACGAAUCCCUGGGAAAUUAGUACUGGAUUUAAUCCCCAUCUGUAGGGUACAUACACGUUGAUUCUAAUUCUACAUCCGAUGCCAAGAUGGUGAAUUUGCAGGAGACUGGCUUCCUAAGCUGAGUGUAUUAUUUACACGUUUACUAAGUACUAUUCCAUGUUUACUAAGUCAAAAGGGAUGAUUAAAGUCUGAGCCGUAUGUUUCCUGGCUUUUACUCAAAGGUUUCAGGUAGAUUACAUCUUUUCCUCCUACGAGACACAAACUGCGAAACCCAUUAUUAAAACAAACUUUGAAUUCCAAGCCGUAAAGAUGACCGUUCAUAUCUGCAGUGCACAUAGUGUGUUCUCACAUUCUGUGAUAUCCAGCCAUCCAGCGAAGAUGGCCGACGUCGCCGGAGUUUUUUAUGGCCCAGACAGCCAACAGCAGCAUAAUGUCCCGUCGACUAAAGUAUCCAUUACCAAGGCUGUACUGCAUUAUGCGUAACGGGAGGACAUUGCUGUUAGUAACCCUGUGCAAUUAACACCACAGUACAAAAUGGCGGGACAUUUUAUGGACACCAGUGGUUUAAUGGAGCUGAUUAUUCUGAAUUACGCCCCACUGCUCGUGGGUACGACAGAAUUUUCCCUCUUCGGAUUUCAGCCUCUGCCGAAAGGACGGUUUUUAAGGCGUCGUUCCGUUCGCUGUCUUACAACCUGGGGCCGUCUGUGUCAACACUGGCUUCCCGUUUUCCGCUCUAUGGUCGACAAUGUCAUGGCAUUGUAAUUCUCACUUAAUUAAAGCCGAACCGCACAUUUUAAUUUGCUAGUCUGUUUAAGCCCUCCAUCUCAUCUGCAAUCUCUUUCACGAUCUAAGUCAAUGAUUCCAUUUGUGUGUGCUGGAAUCUCUACGCCUGUGAAAUAUCUAUAUGCACAUAGCGCCCAGGGGACUGAAACGACAUGUAAAUAGGGUCCCACACCGUCACAGGAUGUUGCCAUGCAUGACA